CCUACGGGAGGCAGCAGUGGGGAAUUUUGGACAAUGGGCGCAAGCCUGAUCCAGCCAUGCCGCGUGCGGGAAGAAGGCCUUCGGGUUGUAAACCGCUUUUGUCAGGGAAGAAAUCCUUUGGGUUAAUACCUCGGAGGGAUGACGGUACCUGAAGAAUAAGCACCGGCUAACUACGUGCCAGCAGCCGCGGUAAUACGUAGGGUGCGAGCGUUAAUCGGAAUUACUGGGCGUAAAGCGUGCGCAGGCGGUUAUGCAAGACAGAUGUGAAAUCCCCGGGCUCAACCUGGGAACUGCAUUUGUGACUGCAUAGCUAGAGUACGGUAGAGGGGGAUGGAAUUCCGCGUGUAGCAGUGAAAUGCGUAGAUAUGCGGAGGAACACCGAUGGCGAAGGCAAUCCCCUGGACCUGUACUGACGCUCAUGCACGAAAGCGUGGGGAGCAAACAGGAUUAGAUACCCUGGUAGUCCACGCCCUAAACGAUGUCAACUGGUUGUUGGACGGCUUGCUGUUCAGUAACGAAGCUAACGCGUGAAGUUGACCGCCUGGGGGAGGACGGCCGCGAGGUUAGUAAACGUUAAAAGUAAAGUUAGUACGGCGUGAGACGUAGACCGAACGGACGACGACGAGGGAGGGAGGG
rnacentral:rRNA from 1 species